UACGUAGGGGGCUAGCGUUGUCCGGAAUCAUUGGGCGUAAAGCGCGUGUAGGCGGUCCGGUAAGUCCGCUGUGAAAGCUCGGGGCUCAACCCGAGUCGGCCGUGCGAACUGCUGGGCUUGAGCACUGUAGAGGCAGGCGGAAUUCCGGGUGUAGCGGUGGAAUGCGUAGAGAUCCGGAAGAACACCGGUGGCGAAGGCGGCCUGCUGGGCAGUAGCUGACACUGAGGCGCGACAGCGUGGGGAGCAAACAGG
rnacentral:rRNA from 1 species